GUGGGAGGGGGCCAAGGAGCAGCGGUUGUGUCAGAGACUGUACCGUCAUCCUGGCAUUUUCUCCUUUUAACCAGUGCUACGAAGUCGGAGCCAUUUGCUGUCCCUUUUACAGAUGAAGACAUUGAGGCUCAGAGAGGGAACCUGAGUGGUGAACAGGUCAGGGAUCCAAGGUUUGAAUCCCACAAGCCUGAUUGAUAGCCCCUGUCUCUGCAACACCCAGCGCACUUGUUAAACUAUAGAGAAUCCCUCCAAACUUCUCAUUCUGAACUCUUGCUUUGGAGAACUGAACAGCCCAGUCCGGGUGCCAGCUCCUACUGCCUCACUCCUCCUAGG
rnacentral:lncRNA from 1 species